rnacentral:rRNA from 1 species
UACGGAGGGUGCAAGCGUUAUCCGGAUUCACUGGGUUUAAAGGGUGCGCAGGCGGCCAUGUGUGUUAGGCGUGAAAGCCCGGGGCUUAACCCCGGAAUUGCACCUAAAACUACGUGGCUAGAGCAUUGGAGAGGGUAGCGGAAUUCACGGUGUAGCAGUGAAAUGCGUAGAUAUCGUGAGGAACACCAGAGGCGAAGGCGGCUACCUGGACAAUUGCUGACGCUCAGGCACGAAAGCGUGGGGAGCAAAAGGG